GGUUAAGCGACUAAGCGUACACGGUGGAUGCCCUGGCAGUCAGAGGCGAUGAAGGACGUGCUAAUCUGCGAUAAGCGUCGGUAAGGUGAUAUGAACCGUUAUAACCGGCGAUUUCCGAAUGGGGAAACCCAGUGUGAUUCGUCACACUAUCAUUACGUGAAUACAUAGCGUAAUGAAGCGAACCGGGGGAACUGAAACAUCUAAGUACCCCGAGGAAAAGAAAUCAACCGAGAUUCCCCCAGUAGCGGCGAGCGAACGGGGAGCAGCCCAGAGUCUGAAUCAGCAUGUGUGGUAGUGGAACGGUCUGGAAAGUCCGACGGUACAGGGUGAUAGUCCCGUACACAAAAGUGCAUGUGUUGUGAACUCGAAGAGUAGGGCGGGACACGUGGUAUCCUGUCUGAAUAUGGGGGGACCAUCCUCCAAGGCUAAAUACUCCUGACUGACCGAUAGUGAACCAGUACCGUGAGGGAAAGGCGAAAAGAACCCCGGCGAGGGGAGUGAAAAAGAACCUGAAACCGUGUACGUACAAGCAGUGGGAGCCUCUUUAUGGGGUGACUGCGUACCUUUUGUAUAAUGGGUCAGCGACUUAUAUUCUGUAGCAAGGUUAACCGAAUAGGGGAGCCGAAGGGAAACCGAGUCUUAACUGGGCGUUAAGUUGCAGGGUAUAGACCCGAAACCCGGUGAUCUAGCCAUGGGCAGGUUGAAGGUUGGGUAACACUAACUGGAGGACCGAACCGACUAAUGUUGAAAAAUUAGCGGAUGACUUGUGGCUGGGGGUGAAAGGCCAAUCAAACCGGGAGAUAGCUGGUUCUCCCCGAAAGCUAUUUAGGUAGCGCCUCGUGAAUUCAUCUUCGGGGGUAGAGCACUGUUUCGGCUAGGGGGUCAUCCCGACUUACCAACCCGAUGCAAACUGCGAAUACCGAAGAAUGUUAUCACGGGAGACACACGGCGGGUGCUAACGUCCGUCGUGAAGAGGGAAACAACCCAGACCGCCAGCUAAGGUCCCAAAGUCAUGGUUAAGUGGGAAACGAUGUGGGAAGGCACAGACAGCCAGGAUGUUGGCUUAGAAGCAGCCAUCAUUUAAAGAAAGCGUAAUAGCUCACUGGUCGAGUCGGCCUGCGCGGAAGAUGUAACGGGGCUAAACCAU
rnacentral:rRNA from 1 species